rnacentral:misc_RNA from 1 species
GUACGCCGCGUUAAACGAGACAUGGAUUUACGACAGGAGCAGCACACAGGGUGAGCCUCUCCAUUAUUUGUAUCAUCUCUACAAGUUUUAGUGGGCCAUUGAAUUACAACGAACCAAGUAAAAAACAUUUGAAUCGCUAACCCCACAUAUUGUGAACGGGGGAUAUCGGAAGGGGAAUUGCCGUGACUGUUGUCAGUUCGAGGAAAACUGGCAGGGGAAUUGCCGGAAAUAUCGGCAGUACCGGGAAUUCAUUCAAGGGAAUUUACCGGGUAUAUGUCCAGGGUAAAGGCAACUGAUAGUGCGUUGUACUCGUGGCUGUCCAACAGGGGAAAUUUAUCGUGAGCUGGAUAUAACGAGCGGAACGUUGACUGAUGCUGUCAUUUCAUGUACAGCACUCAACACAUCUUCAACUUAGCCCCAUCCGGAGGCGGAUAUAUCUGAUGUAUCCGAGUCUCACUGAUUGAACUCAUAAGUUAUUGGAUACGAACAACGCGUUAUAAAUUAGUUGCUACAAAUCAGGGGGGCGUGUGCUGAAUACAUCGACUAUGUUGUAUGUGUGUGAGAUGACAAGUAAAUACAGAGACUCUUCUCGAGACGUUCCGGACAGCGAGGGUGGUAGGCUGACAGUUCAAGGUCAUUCAAGUUGGAGCGAGACGGCGCGUGAUCAGGUGGGGCUGAACUCGGAACUCGCUAUGGUUGAGGGGAUGAGAGAUGAGGCGAGACGACUUAUGACGUUUACCAAUUGGCCCUCCUCGUUCCAGGAUCCGGCCAAAUUGGCAGAAGUCGGACUCUUUUACACUGGACGUUUGGACCGAGUCCAAUGCGCCUUCUGUCUGGGGGUGUUGAAGGAAUGGCAACUGGGGGAUGUCCCGCUGACCGAACAUCAGAGACACUUUCCGCAUUGCAGAUUUCUCCAGGGGGACGAUGUGGGCAAUAUUCCAGCCAGGCGAUGUGCCGCCCCACAGAUGCUCGGGGGUUCAGUACUGAGACCAGCAGUACUGGAGGUGCCAGGCUGGAACAAGGGAUGUGACACUUCCAUGAAUGAAAAUAUGUACAUCAUUCCAUCGUGUGUCCCGCCACCUUCAGACUACAUCAACAGAUUAAGACCUUCUGAUAAGGAAGCAAAGCCCAUACCUUCUUCUACAACUCAAGUGAAACGUAAUUGUUCGGAUGAGGAGACUGGGGCACCGUCUGUGUCCACUGCGGUAAGGACUUUAGACUACACAUCUGAAGCAAGUCGUCUAGCGUCGUUCAGACACUGGCCUACGGACUCUCCGAUUUCACCAGUGGAUCUGGCAAGAGCAGGUUUCUUCCAUGCCCCAACCGCGGGUAAGCCUGACCGGGUGAAAUGUGGGUACUGCCAGGGUAAGCUGUAUGCAUGGAGCUGGGGAGAGGAACCGGAGAUGGAGCAUAGGCAGUGCUUUCCCACGUGUCCCUUUCUGGGGAUGAAUGGAAGCGCGAGGAGGACGAACCAGGCAUUGACAGCAUCAAGCCCAGCAAGUUUCUUUGAAGGCAACAGACCCACGUCAGUUCCAGCUAGACUCAACCUCUCUUCCAAGAAAUCCCUGAACACGACAACACGUGACAUGGUUACAACCAAUCAAGCUGGAUUUUGUGGAUGCAUGCGCGCCAGGGGAGAUGCUGUGUUCAAACAGGACAUGGACGACCCCGAGGUGUUUAUGCUGAGCGACACUGUAACACGGGUGCUGGAGAUGGGGUUUGCCAGAGAGACGAUAGAGAGGCUUGUUAGGAACAGGAGGAAGAGCUGUGUGGACCUGGCUUCGGUGGAGAGGCUCGUGGAGGCUGUGUUGAACUACGAUGUUUAGAGUGUCGCUCGUUGGGUCAUUUGAGAGGCACAAUCUGGAAGAUAAACUGGGGUCAUUUAAGAGGCAAAAUCUGGAAGAUAAACUGGGGUCCUAUUAUAUAUUUAGUUAUCUUGGUAUAUUUUUUUACAUUAAUCAUAUCCCAUGUAUACAUUAUCUGUCUCUUUAUAAUUCAACUUAGACGUCUUUUACUCCAUGAAGAGGCAUGAGUAGUCUGUCCUACAUACCCUGAAACAAAUAUAUCCAAUAGAGUCCAUGCAGGUCUAUAAAGUUUGGUUAGUCCAGAUUACUGCAGUAUUUGAAAAUGAGGAAAGUCUCUUGGCUCCUUUUUAUUAUAUUUUAUAACUAUAAUUUAGCAACUGUUUUUUUUUGUAAAUUAUGUUCAUUUCAGAGACUAGAUGUUAGUCUGAAACAAGAAAUGUUAUCUCUAAAAUACUAUGUCUUCAACUAUGGUCCAGUUACAUCCAGAGAUAUGCUUCAAUGAAAUACGAUGUGUCUUCUUAAUCCGAAGACCCAAGUAUAAUCCGAUAUAUGUCCCACAUCCAGAGAUGUGCUCAAAUGAGAUACAGUGAGACUCGAAGACCCCAGCAUCAUAAUUAUAUAUCCGAUAUAUGUCGACUUAUCCCUAGUAGGGCAACUAAAUAAGACUGAGGCUGAUGUAAAUAUUCUACCGUGGCAUGAAGUCAUAUCGACGAUAUCGAGAUAGUGUAGUUAGAAUAAACCAGAAUUUACUGUACACAAUAAUGAGAGAGUGAGUUGUUUUUUACGGCGCUUUGACCAGUACAUUAGUUUCAACAGGCAAGGUGUAAAUUGGUCAAGUUGCCCCAACACUUGUUAACUUUCAAAAGCCCGAUGCGAUGCCGGUCUUGGACGUUCACAGCUUUGGUGAAACCAGUAAGGGUAUGGCGCUCACAAACCAAGGAAUAAAUCUGGAAUUUGAACCCACAAUAAUAUGUCCAACCUAUACAUACUUUCAUGACAAGAGAGUAGUACAUUUUUGUAUUAUUUUUGUGAACACAAGGGGUGCAAUUUGUGGCUCUUGAUUCAUUUACCAGUAUUUAGUUUAAUGAACAAGACCACUUACAACCAAUACAGAGAAAAAAAUCCAUUUACCGAUCUCUGCCCUAGGAGAAUGACGAAAUAUCAAAUAUUUGUUUAUCCAACUUGUAAAAGAAAUAAUCAUGUAGAUUUAACCUGUAGCUGGAGCACAUUUCAAAAAUAAAUAUUUAUCUGAUUU